AGCAAGCCGACUCAGCAGUACUCAGCAGUGGUUCGUUCUGGCAGCAGCGUCACUUAAACAUCUCCAACAUGAUUCGCGUUGUUUUCGCAACCAUCCUUCUGGCAGCGGCGGUCGUUGAGGCCCAGUAUGGCUACGCAAAGCCGUGCCCUCCUGAGGUCAGAUACGUGACCAAGACGCAGUCGGUGCCCCAGUAUGUCACUGUGACCCGAUACCAAACCCAGACACAGUACCACACUGCG